AGUGCAAAGGGGGUUUGUCUUCAUACUGUCAUUAUGUCAUUUAAAUGUAUCAUGUUACACAGGUAAUACUGGUCGUUAUUGAAGUAAAACAAAAUCUAUUAAAUGAAGUCCUAGCAUGUUGGAUUUAAACCUUUGCAAAUCAUACUGAAUAUGUAUUGGUUUGACCAUGAUUCCCACUUAGAAUAUGACACCUGCUAGUACAUGUGCACUUUGAUGCAUAGAAAAUAUAGAUGUCACUGAGUCGCUCGUAAAGCUGCAAAUUGUGAAACAAUGCAUUAAUUCAUUAUUUAAUGCUAGUUAUCUAUUGUUUUUGGAAAUUAUGAAUAUGGCGUGCAGCAUUAUUCCAUGAUGAUAAUGUGAUGUUCUGAUUAAAUUGGACAAGAAUAAAAUUGUGCCUUGUACAAAUAGGAAAAUUACAAAUUGUAUUAAAGGAGGACCACAUUACUGGAGAACUAAUUACCUUGGAUUAUCAUGAUCAAUUGUGAAUUUGGAAUAACAAAAUUUCGUAGUUGCAGUGAAUAUUAAUAGUGCAAUCAUACAUGUACACUAUUUCUGAAUUCCAUGAAUACCCAGGAUAACUAUUCAUUUGAAAUAGCAAUUUGGAAUAAUGAAAAUGCAUAGUUUCAGUGAAUACUACUAAUAAUAGUGCAUCAUAUCUGAAUUCAUGAAUACUUUUAAUUAGUGGAUAAUCAGUCAUUUUAAUAUAAUAAUAAUAUGGAUACUGUGAAUUUCUUGUUUCAGUGAAAUUUACAAAACAGUACAUGUAUAUCACAUCUGAAGUUUAUGUUGGCAUUGCAAUUGUUAACUACCGCCAGCAUGUCCAGGGUGUGUAAAAAGAUCUUAACCAACUAUGAGGGUCUCGUGCAGUCUGUGUCAAUUGUUUAGAGUCAAAUGACUGCUUACUGUACUUAAAUUAUUAAAGUCUGAAUUAGAAUUAAAUAAAAAUCUUAAUUAGCAUGAUUAGUCAUGUUAGUGGCCAAGUA